rnacentral:rRNA from 1 species
GACGAACGCUGGCGGCGUGCCUAACACAUGCAAGUCGAGCGAGUGGAGUUCUUCGGAACAAAGCUAGCGGCGGACGGGUGAGUAACACGUGGGCAACCUGCCUCAUAGAGGGGAAUAGCCUCCCGAAAGGGAGAUUAAUACCGCAUAAGAUUGUAGCUUCGCAUGAAGUAGCAAUUAAAGGAGCAAUCCGCUAUGAGAUGGGCCCGCGGCGCAUUAGCUAGUUGGUGAGGUAACGGCUCACCAAGGCGACGAUGCGUAGCCGACCUGGGAGGGUGAUCGGCCACAUUGGGACUGAGACACGGCCCAGACUCCUACGGGAGGCAGCAGUGGGGAAUAUUGCACAAUGGGGGAAACCCUGAUGCAGCAACGCCGCGUGAGUGAUGACGGCCUUCGGGUUGUAAAGCUCUGUCUUCAGGGACGAUAAUGACGGUACCUGAGGAGGAAGCCACGGCUAACUACGUGCCAGCCGCCGCCGUAACAC